AACGAACGCUGGCGGCGUGGAUAAGACAUGCAAGUCGAACGGGGUUGUUUGUGUAGCAAUACAUCGACAACCUAGUGGCGAACGGGUGCGUAACACGUGAGCAAUCUGCCGGGAAGUGGGGGAUAGCUCGCCGAAAGGCGAAUUAAUACCGCAUGUGGCCAGAGGGGACAUCCCUUCGACGCCAAAGUCGCAAGACGCUUCCUGAUGAGCUCGCGGCCUAUCAGCUUGUUGGUGAGGUAACGGCUCACCAAGGCUAUGACGGGUAGCUGGUCUGAGAGGACGACCAGCCACACUGGAACUGAGACACGGUCCAGACACCUACGGGUGGCAGCAGUCGAGAAUUUUUCACAAUGGGGGCAACCCUGAUGGAGCGACGCCGCGUGGAGGAUGAAGGUCUUCGGAUUGUAAACUCCUGUCAUGCGAGAACAAGAAAGUGAUAGCAUCGCAAGAGGGAGAGACGGCUAACUCUGUGCCAGCCGCCGCCGUAA
rnacentral:rRNA from 1 species